rnacentral:lncRNA from 1 species
CCCUUUUGACAUGCAAUUCACCAUUUUUAGAUUCCCAGCUACAUGAUUUCUUUUCAAGCAUGCCUAAUGAAAUAAGAUUUCUUUUCUUAUCAGGAAUAUUUCUAACAUCUAUAGCUAAUACCACAGAAUCAUCAUGCAUUUUAAAUCUAAUAUUUCAAAUUCCUUUCACUUGGCAUACCUGAUUGUUGCCAAGAAGUACA